rnacentral:rRNA from 1 species
UACGGGGGGGGUAAGCGUUGUCCGGAAUUAUUGGGCGUAAAGAGCUUGUAGGCGGUUUGUCGCGUCUGCUGUGAAAUCUCAAGGCUCAACCUUGAGCUUGCAGUGGGUACGGGCAGACUAGAGUGUGGUAGGGGAGACUGGAAUUCCUGGUGUAGCGGUGAAAUGCGCAGAUAUCAGGAGGAACACCGAUGGCGAAGGCAGGUCUCUGGGCCACUACUGACGCUGAGAAGCGAAAGCAUGGGGAGCGAACAGG